rnacentral:Y_RNA from 1 species
GGCUGGUCCGAGUGCAGUGGUGUUUACAACUUCACUCCCACUGCUUCACUUGACUAGCCUAAA